rnacentral:rRNA from 1 species
CGAAAGCCUGACGGAGCAACGCCGCGUGAGGGAUGAAGGCCUCUGGGCUGUAAACCUCUUUUCUCAAGGAAGAAGAUCUGACGGUACUUGAGGAAUAAGCCACGGCUAAUUCCGUGCCAGCAGCCGCGGUAAUACGGGAGUGGCAAGCGUUAUCCGGAAUUAUUGGGCGUAAAGCGUCCGCAGGCGGCCUAUCAAGUCUGUCGUUAAAGCGUGGAGCUUAACUCCAUUUGAGCGAUGGAAACUGAAAGGCUAGAGUGUGGUAGGGGCAGAGGGAAUUCCCGGUGUAGCGGUGAAAUGCGUAGAUAUCGGGAAGAACACCAGUGGCGAAGGCGCUCUGCUGGGCCAUAACUGACACUCAUGGACGAAAGCCAGGGGAGCG